UUAAGCAGUUUUUUUUUUAAAUCCCCAGAUUCGUUUCUUCAGCAUCAAGCAGUCCCUUCAGACAGAAUGGGUUUCAGUCGGACGUCACAGCCAAUCACCAGCAGCUCAGUCUGUGUGGUGUACUGAAAAAAAGGGGCAGAGAUGAUGAGGCAGAGCGCCCAGAGCUGACUCAGUUUAGCUUCUAACUUCCAGCAGUGGUUCUGUCUGCAUGUGCAGCAGGCUCUGAGCUGAAGAGUUCACUUCAAGCAGUCAGUCAGCUGUCAGUCGCUGAGGCAAGGCUUCAUAUCUCUGAAAGAAAAAUCAUGGAUUUGGAGUCUGGGGAACUGGGUGAAGGAGAUCUCUCAGGAACUGAAUCCUUU